GGAGGAAAGCAGGGGAUCGCAAGACCUUGUGCUUUUAGAGCGGCCGAUGCCUGAUUAGCUUGUUGGUGAGGUAAAAGCUUACCAAGGCUUCGAUCAGUAGCUGGUCUGAGAGGACGGCCAGCCACACUGGGACUGAGACACGGCCCAGACUCCUACGGGAGGCAGCAGUGGGGAAUUUUGGACAAUGGGGGCAACCCUGAUCCAGCCAUGCCGCGUGAGUGAAGAAGGCCUUCGGGUUGUAAAGCUCUUUCAGCCGGAACGAAACGGUUACGGUUAAUACCCGUAACUACUGACGGUACCGGAAGAAGAAGCACCGGCUAACUACGUGCCAGCAGCCGCGGUAAUACGUAGGGUGCGAGCGUUAAUCGGAAUUACUGGGCGUAAAGCGUGCGCAGGUGGUUUUAUAAGUCAGAUGUGAAAUCCCCGGGC
rnacentral:rRNA from 1 species